UGGGGAAUAUUGCGCAAUGGAGGAAACUCUGACGCAGCAACGCCGCGUGAAUGAUGAAGGCCUUAGGGUUGUAAAGUUCUGUCUUCUGGGACGAUAAUGACGGUACCAGAGGAGGAAGCCACGGCUAACUACGUGCCAGCAGCCGCGGUAAUACGUAGGUGGCAAGCGUUGUCCGGAUUUACUGGGCGUAAAGGAUGCGUAGGCGGAUAUUUAAGUCAGAUGUGAAAUACCCGGGCUCAACUUGGGUGCUGCAUUUGAAACUGGAUAUCUAGAGUGCGGGAGAGGUAAGUGGAAUUCCUAGUGUAGCGGUGAAAUGCGUAGAGAUUAGGAAGAACACCAGUGGCGAAGGCGACUUACUGGACCGUACCUGACGCUCAGACGCGAAAGCUAGGGUAGCAAACG
rnacentral:rRNA from 1 species